rnacentral:rRNA from 1 species
AGUCGAGGGGUAACAGAGAAAGCUUGCUUUUUUGCUGACGACCGGCGCACGGGUGCGUAACGCGUAUGCAAUCUACCUUUUGCUGAGGGAUAGCCCAGAGAAAUUUGGAUUAAUACCUCAUAGUAUGGCGACUUGGCAUCAAGAUAUCAUUAAAGGUUACGGCAAAAGAUGAGCAUGCGUUCUAUUAGUUAGUUGGUGUGGUAACGGCACACCAAGGCAGCGAUAGAUAGGGGUCCUGAGAGGGAGAUCCCCCACACUGGUACUGAGACACGGACCAGACUCCUACGGGAGGCAGCAGUGAGGAAUAUUGGACAAUGGAGGCAACUCUGAUCCAGCCAUGCCGCGUGCAGGAAGACUGCCCUAUGGGUUGUAAACUGCUUUUAUACAGGAAGAAACACCUCUACGUGUAGAGGCUUGACGGUACUGUAAGAAUAAGGAUCGGCUAACUCCGUGCCAGCAGCCGCGGUAAUACGGAGGAUCCAAGCGUUAUCCGGAAUCAUUGGGUUUAAAGGGUCCGUAGGUGGAUAAUUAAGUCAGAGGUGAAAUCCUGCAGCUUAACUGUAGAAUUGCCUUUGAUACUGGUUGUCUUGAGUUAUUAUGAAGUAGUUAGAAUAUGUAGUGUAGCGGUGAAAUGCAUAGAUAUUACAUAGAAUACCAAUUGCGAAGGCAGAUUACUAAUAAUAUACUGACACUGAUGGACGAA